AGGCAGAGGCUGCCACGGUGGACUGUAACAACUGCUGGAAAUUCUGAAAAUGUUUUGCUCAGAGCAGAGUUGGCAGAUGUCAUGACAAAGCCAGCAGGCGACAUAUGAAGGGAGCUGAAAAGCAGGAGCCGGAGCAGAGAGACAGAAGGCAUCAAGGUCUUUGAAGAGGUCAGCGAGAGGCUGGCCACCCCAGCUGCGAGCCAACCACUCCCGUGAAUGAUUGUGAUGUCGGAAAAUACGCCCCUCAGUGCACCGGGCAUCACGCCCGACUUCCAAAUGCUUGUGUGGGAGACGGCAGGAUUUGAAGAACCCAGAGGAAAACAGGAUUCUUGGUAACUUCAGUGUAACAAAUCUUCAUACUUACCCGCCACAGGCUCCCAGGGCUGGGGGCUGAGUUAGUAAAACAACUGCUCAGUUGUGCCUUGGCUUCGUUACUCUGCUAAUAUAUUUAUUUGCUGCUACUGUUAUCUGCUCAACAUGCAGCCACUAAAAAGAGGAUUCUGUUAACACUCUUAAUAUGGAAUUUCUUUAGAGGCAAA
rnacentral:lncRNA from 12 species